UAUUGGCUAUGAUGAUUACCAUUCAGCUUUAAAUGCCAGUUCUGCUUCUGAUAAAUUGUGAUUGAUAGAGCUGUAAUAUGUUCUGAGCCGAUC
rfam:Vigna radiata var. radiata cultivar VC1973A chromosome 8, whole genome shotgun sequence